rnacentral:ncRNA from 1 species
AGAAUGACCUUAUUUGGAUAUUAUAAUUUAUAAGUCAAGAGUAGAGUUACAAACCACCUUGGGGGGGAGGGGGGAGGGGGGGGAUCAAGCUAUUAGUGAGAUAUCACUUUUGAAGGCUUAGAAUUCUAACCUUGUGUCAAGACUUACGGACCAAGGGACAGUCUCAGGUAGACAAUUUCUAUGGGGCGUAGGCCUCCCAAAAGGUUAUGAAAGUGUGCGAAAGUUUCCUCGGGGCAAACAAAGAUUGGCCCUCGAGUGCAAAGGUAGAAGGGAGUUUGACUGCAACACCCACCUGUCGAGUAGGAACGAAAGUCGACUUUAGUGAUCCGAUGAUGUCAAGUGGAAGGAUAUUGACUCAACGGAUAAAAGUUACUCUAGGGACAACAAGUUGAUCUUCCCCGAGAGUUCACAUUGACGGGAAGGUUUGGAACCUUGAUGUCGGCUCUUCGCCACCUGGGGAUGUAGUAUGUUCCAAGGGUUGGGUUGUUCGCCUAUUAAAGCAGUGCGUGAGUUGGGUGCAGAACAUCGAGAGACAGUUUGGACUUU